rnacentral:misc_RNA from 1 species
GUGAAGGUACAACAAGAAAUGCUGAACAUUUCUUUAUUGUGGGUUCUCAUUUCUUCUCCAUCAAUCCACUUCUCAAAAAGUUAAAGCCAAUAGUCGAUUGAUUCAACCAAAAGGUGCUAUUGGGGAGGUAAUCCUGUCUCUGUUCAAGUCUCUUCUUUCACCACAGCUUAAGAUAAUAAUUUGCAAUAAAAAAAAGAGUUGUGUUUCAUAUAAUUAAGUUGAUUGAGAAAAUAUAAAAUACAAUGCAAAGCACCUUAAUGAAGUCAUCCAGCAU